UAAUACGAAGGGCCCGAGCGUUAUUCGGAAUCACUGGGCUUAAAGCGUACGUAGGCUGGUAUAUAGGCGUCUUGUGAAAUCCCUCGGCUCAACCGAGGAACUGCAAGGCGAACCAUAUAUCUUGAGACAGACAGAGGCCGUCGGAACGAUUGGUGGAGUGGUGAAAUGCGUUGAUAUCAAUCGGAACGCCGAAGGAGAAGUCAGGCGACUGGGCCUGUUCUGACGCUGAGGUACGAAAGCGUGGGUAGCGAACGGGAUUAGAUACCCCGGUAGUCCACGCCGUAAACGAUGUGCACUAGGUCGAGGGCGUUCUGACGCGACUCUCGGCCGAAGCGAAAGUGUUAAGUGCACCGCCUGGGGAGUACGGUCGCAAGGCUA
rnacentral:rRNA from 1 species